AGCAGCCGCGGUAAUUCCAGCUCCAAUAGCGUAUAUUAAAGUUGUUGCAGUUAAAAAGCUCGUAGUUGAAUUUCGGGGUCAGUAGGUUGGUCGUGCCACCGGUACGUACUGGUCUCACUGAUUCCUCCUUCCUGAAGAACCGUAAUGCCAUUAAUUUGGUGUUGCGGGGAGACAGGACUGUUACUUUGAAAAAAUUAGAGUGUUUAAAGCAGGCUAACGCUUGAAUACAUUAGCAUGGAAUAAUGAAAUAGGACGAUCGAUCCUAUUUUGUUGGUUUCUAGGAUUGACGUAAUGAUUAAUAGGGAUAGUUGGGGGCAUUAGUAUUCAAUUGUCAGAGGUGAAAUUCUUGGAUUUAUUGAAGACUAACUACUGCGAAAGCAUUUGCCAAGGAUGUUUUCAUUAAUCAAGAACGAAAGUUAGGGGAUCGAAGACGAUCAGAUACCGUCGUAGUCUUAACCAUAAACUAUGCCGACUAGGGAUCGGAUGAUGUUAAUUUUAUAAUGACUCAUUCGGCGCCUUA
rnacentral:rRNA from 1 species